CAAAAAGUAGGAUGCGGAGAGUGAGUCAUAGGCUCCAGCCCAAUGUUAAAGGAUCCGUCCGGGCCGAGGCCCGGAGUCCUGGGAUUGGGAGCUGGUUCUGAAAGGCCAGGGUCAGGUGAGUUGGACCCUGGUUCAGCCGCCACCGCACUCUGCGACCACAGACAGCUCUCUGAACUUUCCUGAGUCUCAGUUUGUCCUGCAAAAAAGAAAAAUGCUCCUGUACGCGCACCCGGAGGCUUUUGCAGGAGGCGGCUAUUGGAGAACCAGGAAAACAAGCCAAGAAACAAGAGAGAGGAAAAAGACCACGCCUCGCUUGGCAGAUUCCUAAUGGCCCAGGAGACCUGAGGCUUUACAGUGGGAGGCCGGUGGGGGCUGGCUCGGGUGGGAGGGAAGGGCAGGCCGAAGGACAGCCACUUGCUGGCCAGUGACCUUGGGCGGGAUGCUGCCUGCUUCCCUCUGGUGAGAAUGGGAGGAGGGGGCAGGGGCAGGGCUGGCUGGCUGAGGUCACAGGAAGGCCUCUUCCAGCCUGAAACGCGAUCUCGGGAUGUGGGGCCUGCCAACCUGCAGCGACCCUGGGCCAGCAGAGAUGAAAGGCUGCCUGUCCCCAGCUUCCGGACCCCCGAGGCCCCAGUGCCUCCAACUUGAAGGGCAGCAAAGCUGCUGCAGCUGGCUGAAGCCAGUUGCUGGGCUCUCCCCCCCACACACACACCUGAUGUCAUCCAACCCUCCGUUCCCUGUUUUGCAGAGGACACUCAGGCCCAGAGAGGGCUGGUGGCCUGCCCGAGGUCACACAGCAAGUUGGAGGCUGAGCCAGGACUCACCACAAAGUCUUUGGACUCCAAGUCCAGGCCUCAUUCCCUUUCCCCGAAACUUGGCUGCCUGGGGGCUUACCCUGGGGAGUUGGAGAGACCCAGGGUUAGGGAGGACAGUUGGGAGCUGUGUCUGUUUGAAGUCACGACUUAAUGUUGAUUAAAGUGCCUUUUUUUAAAAAAAAAAAAA